rnacentral:lncRNA from 1 species
AAAAAAAAAAAAAACAAAAAACAACAAAAUCAAAACCUAAAAUUUCUACUCCCCCCUCUCUCCAUCCGUCUCCCCUCUCCCUUCUCUCUUCCUCUCCUCCAUUUUUUUCGGCAAAAGCCAUCAUCGUCGGUGAGCUCUCCCUCUCGCUCCUUCUUCGUUUUUCUUUUCUCCCUUCUUCCCCCUCCUCUCCUCCCCUCUUCUUCUCCUUUUAUCCUCAUCUGACCAGCAGCCUGCGAGCCCCGCCAGCAGCAGCCGGCAACGCAAGGCCACAGCGAACAGCAGCCGCCUCUUCUUUCUCCUCUCCGACGCACGCAGCAGCAGCAACCCACCAGCAGCCUGCGCAGCAGCAGCACCUGGAGCGGCGCACGACAGCAGUCAGGCCACUCCGGCCAGCAGCUGCGACCAACAGCAGCAACUGGCGCCCCUCUCUUCUCUCUCCCUUCUCCAGCGCUACUCUCUCCCCCCCUCCCGUCUCUUCUCUUCCCUUCUUCUUCUAUUUUUAUGCAGGCACCAGCGCCUCCCGCCAGCAAGCAGCUCACUCGCCCUUUCCUCUUCCGGUGACACAACGGGCAACAAUUCAGGCUAUGGUCAGCAAUGGCGUGAAAUCCGAACUUAGUGUUUGAGAAAUGGCGGAUCUGGACAGAUCCGUCUAGGUUUGUUCUAGUCAAUUAAUUGUUAUUCAUCUCUUAAUAUUCUUAGUUGUUGGUCCUUGGCAUGCUCUGGAUUUCUAUACAUCUACUUUAUGUGAGUAAAAAUGUUUUGAACUGCAUUGUAGAAGGAGCCAUGAGUUUUUCUUUUUUUUUAUCUUAAGCAUGUUUCGUUGUAAGUUGCUGAUGUUUGAAUGCUCUUAUAUCUAUAUAAUUGGCUUCAUUAUAAUUUGAUGAUAUGCAGAAAGAAAUAAUAUGUUCUUGAUUUAGAAUUGUGGACCCUUGGUUUUAAAUUGAUUAACUUCUUAAACUAAUAUGAUGCAAAUUUUCCCUCAACUUUGAUGCCUACGGAUUUGUUUUUGAUAUCAACUUAGUAAUUUUGUAUGAUCCUUUUGUUGAACUACGUGACUGAUGCACAUGAUGAAAUUGUAGGUUCUGUGAUCUUUGUAAUAUUGAUACCUCUCCCUUAAUUAAUUACUCUUGCCCGACGAAUUUGUAAUUGAUAGCUUAUUAAUCAAUUUCUUGUUUUAUUCGGUUGUGUAUAUUUUUGACAUGUUAAUUUUGGUUUUAGUAUUUUUGAAUUUGACUCAUAUUUGGCUCUUCAUUAUUUAAGGAAAAAUUAUAUAUCUCUUCCCAAUUUUAUAUUUUACUUGCUUACAUGGUAAAGUAAUAUUAUUUUUUGGCUCUUCUUUGGGAAAAUAUAUUCUCUUAUUUAUUUAUAUUUGGUAAAAUAUAUAAAAGAUAAAGGAUAAUUUCUUAUUUGUUUAUAUAUGGUCAAAAAUAAUUAAUUAUUUUCUGAUUUUGGAUUCAUCUUCAUUUGUGAAAAUAUUACUCUAUUAAUUUAUUCUUACUUGUUUAUAUUUGGUAAUGAAAUAUUUUAACAUAUUUUCUGAUUUGGAUAUCCUUUAAAAUAAGGAAAAUUGUAUUAUGAUUGAUUCCUUGAAAUAUUUAUUUCCCUUAUUUGUUCCCCCUCCUCUACUAUAUAAAGAGACUCCUUUUAUUCAUUCAAAAUAUACCCAUUCACUCUCAACCAAAAAUUCUCUCAUCACUCUCCCUUCUCUCAUUGCUCUCUUGCUACUUUAAACAAUAUAUUAAUAUUUCGGCAAAUAUUCAAGUGCUUUUCUCCGCUAUUUUCCUGCUUUGUUCGAGUACAAGGUGAAUCAUUUUGUUUUGUUUAACAGGUUUCAUAUUUGAAGUUCAAGUUGAAGAUUAACUGAAGAAGGAUUUGUUUAUUUGUUUGAAUGUAUAUAUGUCUAUAUAUUUUAUUUUUUCCGCUAUUUUAUUUAUUCGAAUGUUGUAACAAUUGUAACCCUAAGAUCAUAUAAUAAAGUUAUUUGGGGGUCGUCUAGGGGAGGGGGAUUUAUAUGCUUACUUGCUCAUUAUUUUUUUUUUUAGAAAUCAUGCCUAUAGGUUUGUCUUUAACCACCUAGAUUUGAUAUUUGUAGGUGUUAUAAUCUAAUCAAUUUUCAAUUUGCUUGACGUUUUUGUUAACAAGCCUUAAAAAAAUAAGAACUAGAGUCCAUUAAUUUUUAAAUGUUAAAAUCAAAUCCUAAUAAAUCUAGUAGGUUGUUAGAUGUUAAAAUAUUAUAAAUUCUCAUUUGUCUUAUCAUGUAGAAACCAUGUCUAAGGUUUAAUUUGUUCAUACCAUUUACGAAAUCAUGCAUAUAUAUGUUACUUUUUUUGAACACCUAGAAAUCAUGUCUAUAGGUUUGUAAAUAAGAGAAUAAAAUUUGUUUGUGCAUAUUUGAGUCCUCCCCUAAAAUUAAUUAAUAUUAUUUAACUAGUAAUCCCAUUUGUUUUCCACAUUCGUGAUGCAAUAUUUUUUUCUUUUUUCUUAAUACUAACUUAGAAUCAUUUCAUGCAUUUAACUUGGCUUUAAAAAAUAUUUCAAAACCUUGUAACAUAAAUUUUUUUUUUAAAAAAAGUCAUUAUUCAAUCUUUCUUUAAAUUUUGGAUUGAUUAUGACUCUACUUUAUUUUGAAAUAAAUUAUAAAAUACUAUCUCCUAACCUAUCGUUAGUGGGAAAGUCAAAGGAACUACGAGGUCUAGUUCCAAUUUUUUAAAACCGAUGCGUCCCCGGAAGUACCACUUCCCAUGAAUUUCAAAAAGAAUUAUGUGCAUUUAUAUGUAAUUGUUUAUGUGCCUACGUGUGAACUAAAUAUUUUAAAUCAUUUUUCAAAACAUAACUAUUUUUAGACCGACCUCAAAUCAAAAUUGUUUCUAUGGUGGAGGAGCACGAUCAAUAAUAUCGUGGCAUCAUCCCUAUAAAGAAACAAACAUUUUUUAAAAAAAAAAAAAUAAAAAAAAUUAAAAAAUUCCUAUUCAAAACUUAUCAAUUUUCAAACUUUAUUUUCGCACAUAUUAAUUGCUUAAUAUUUGCCAAUUUUGUUUAUAACAUAGUGUCGUAUGUCAAAAUAAAUAUUUAUUGCCAUCACCUAGCUUUACAUAUCUAAAUAAGAAUAAUAGUCUUAAUUGUUUCGUAUUUGUUAUCACUUAGUAAGAUUAAAUAAAUUAAUAAACGACCUUGAUUGCUAUUUGUACCCCCACAUAGAUUGCAUGAGAUACGGCCGGGACCCACACUUGUGGACCUCGAGGGAUGCCUAACACCUUCCCCUCGAGGUAAUUUGAACCCUUACCCUAAUCUCUGGCCCGUUGACCUUAGUUAGACUUAGUUAGGUUAGAUAGGCGCCCUAACGCGCCUUAAUUCGUUAGGUGGCGACUCCAAAACUCAAAAAUCCCAAAAGAGUUGUUAGGUCGUGCACAAAACCCGUUUUCCGCGAAAAUGGGGCGCGACAGAAUGGCGACUCCGCUGGGGAUGUUAGGUUCUUACCAUUACGUGUUAACUGCUUAUUUAUGUGGGGUU